AAUUAACUCUAAUUAAUCUAUCCCUUAUUGUAAUUAACAAAUUAAUCUCUCUGACACCCACUCACCCACCACUCACCCGUAACAUUCAUUUUACACAUUCUUCUUUCUCACUCUUCAAUCAUCCUCUCCAGUUUCUCUCUCUAUUCAAUUAUUGAAUCCCUAAAUUCCGCCUCAUCUAUGCAAAAAAUCUCUACAUUCCAGAGGUGAACUCCUAUUUUUCACCUCCAUCUUCGCGACUCUCUAUAUCUGAGAGGUGAAACCCUAAAUUUUCAUUGGGUUCUCUCUUUCGUCUCUCUCUUCCGCCUACUUUGCCCUCUUGGUUCUCUCGGAUCUACCAUGCCCGGCUAGAGGAUUUGUCAGGGUGGAUGGAUUAAUUCAUGUCUCCCACGCACGCCGAUUAUAAAAAAUUGCAUCUAGACGUUUGGUGAUAUUUUUGCAUUCCAAUAUCUUGUGCAUGUCUGCCUUGAUAUCGAGAACUUAAGUUGAGCUUCCUUGAGUGUACCUCGUGGUGGUUUUCCUUUGAUGCAACGUUCAAGGAUGAAUUGAACCACUUGGUUUCGUUGUUCCGAGGAGUAUUCACGAGGCCUCAUUCUCUCUUUUGUUUCUGUUUUGAUCUUUCCAGUUUGAUAGGAUGUGUGAAUAUCAGAUUAUGUAUUUAUAGGCAGUAAAUGCUUAAAUUAGGCGCCAAGUCUGUAAUUGUUUUGCUCUUUUGGUUCUGCCGCCAUUUACAAAAUUUUGGAGGUGGAUUUGUAAUCUAUUUUUGGUUCUACCGCUAAGUAAUGAUAUUUAUUACA